rnacentral:tRNA from 1 species
GGCCCGGUGGCGGAGUUGGUUAACGCACCCGUCUGGAAAGCGGAGGUCGCCCAUCGUGGGGCGCGAGGGUUCAAGUCCCUCCCGGGUCU